GACGAACGCUGGCGGCGUGCUUAACACAUGCAAGUCGAGCGAUGAAGUUCCUUCGGGAAUGAAUUAGCGGCGGACGGGUGAGUAACACGUGGGUAACCUGCCUCAUAGAGGGGAAUAGCCUUCCGAAAGGAAGAUUAAUACCGCAUAAGAUUGUAGUACCGCAUGGUACAGCAAUUAAAGGAGCAAUCCGCUAUGAGAUGGACCCGCGUCGCAUUAGCUAGUUGGUGAGGUAACGGCUCACCAAGGCGACGAUGCGUAGCCGACCUGAGAGGGUGAUCGGCCACAUUGGGACUGAGACACGGCCCAGACUCCUACGGGAGGCAGCAGUGGGGAAUAUUGCACAAUGGGGGAAACCCUGAUGCAGCAACGCCGCGUGAGUGAUGACGGUCUUCGGAUUGUAAAACUCUGUCUUCAGGGACGAUAAUGACGGUACCUGAGGAGGAAGCCACGGCUAACUUCGUGCCAGCAGCCGCAGUAA
rnacentral:rRNA from 1 species